AUCUGAACAGCCACCGCAUUUGAGUUUACCAGUUUACCAAAGUGAUAAAAUAUGGGUUUCUAGAGAUCAUUGUUUGGUUUUGGAAAUUGAUGGGUUCAGUCAUGCUGGUUUAAAUGUCAUCUCAGUUUGCUUAAGGACUAUGAGACAAAACCAAAGCUGUUCAUCUGAGCUGAACCGCUGUCUAGUUUUAAAGCCAUGUAUGCAUCACAGAGUUGAGUUUUUCAAGUCAGUCUCCUCCUCUGUGUACAGUACAUGUCUGGGUAGUUUGUUGAUGUGACUGAUGAGCAGUGAGACAGUUUUUGUUUGUAUUAGAGGUGUCAGAUGAGGAUCUGUGUGGAAAGUAGGUGGAUGCAUGAUGGUAAACAGUAGCAGGACCAGGACAUCAAAGUAAGUGCUUUGGAAAACUGUUUCUAUCCCAAAUACACAAAGGAAGCAAUGCUCCUUUUCAUAUGGCCAAAUCCUCCACACAUUGUAACUGAUGAUUGAAUUAAUAUUACACCCUCAAUGUGACCAUCAUUCAUGGUGUAUUAUUUACUUCAUAUUUGUAUACCAACUUGACAUCAUCAGCACUGGUUGUAAUUUAGCAUUGGAAAGACAGAGGUACAGAUUCUUGUUUCUGGUUGGUCUAUCAUAGCCAUAUCCUGCUUUGCCUGGUUCUACCUCAAUUUGCCAUUUUUAUUCAUUUGAGUUGUUCAAGGUUUGAACUUGAAGCAUUGGUUCCUAGGUUCCAAACAGAUCAAGAGGAAUAGUGUUAGUGGUAUUGCUGUGUGCACUUAAAAUUAGAAUAUUCUCUCCAAGCACCUGCAUUCCAGCAGUUUUUUAGGCUUUUUUUUCUGUAACUGCAAGUUGUUUCACUACAUCAGCUAAUUUUUGUCUAAAAAGAAAAAAAGCCAACUAAGUCACUGUCUCCAGGCAACAGCUUAAGACAUCAGAAUGCUGACUGAUUCAAAGGUAUGCUUGCAUAGAGCUUGUGUGUAUAAAUCUAAUUUUUAAGUGGCCUAGUUGCAUAAACCAAGUAUUU